AAUGAAUCUCUGGCAUCAGCCCUCAGUAGGUCAUGCCUUGGUUAGAAAGAAGACUUUUCAUAAAAGGUUAUACACCUAAAGUCCCAAGAACUGAACUCCUGUUGGAGAUUUGAAAGAAUGUGGCGUCUUUGCUUCUUACAUCAGAGUGAGGCAAGGUCUAGAUGAGCCUCCACAUUGCCCGGGGGCAGGGCUAUGGUGUAUCUUUCCAUGGCGCCUACAUGAUGUCAUGACCAUAAUAUGUAACUUGCAUUUCUUUCACUAUUUACCUCCAAUUAAAAACACAAAAGCC